rnacentral:rRNA from 1 species
UACGUAGGGGGGCUAGCGUUGUCCGGAAUCAUUGGGCGUAAAGCGCGCGUAGGCGGCCAGAUAAGUCCGGUGUGAAAAGUCACAGGCUCAACCUGUGAAUGCCGCUGGAAACUGUCUGGCUAGAGUCCGGAAGGGGGCGAGUGGAAUUCCUGGUGUAGCGGUGAAAUGCGCAGAUAUCAGGAGGAACACCAAUUGCGAAGGCAGCUCGCUGGGACGUUACUGACGCUGAGACGCGAAAGCGUGGGGAGCAAACAGG